CCUCUUCGUCCCUCACUUCCUCGCAUAUCACAUAGGGAAACUUAGCUGUGGCAUGAGCAAAAUCUCUGCACUUUCUCUCUCCUGAGAUCUCUCUCUUCCUCUAUUAGAGUUUCAUCGCACGGCCCGCAAUUCCAAUUCGAGGAAGAUCUCCGCACCCUACUGCGCGCGCGCGCGUCAGUGGAUUCGCUCCUCUGUGAUCUUCGCUUGGAUCUCUAGGGCUGCUCAUUUUUCCAAAUCUCCGAUUCGUUUCUUCAAUCUAAGUAGUUUCCCUUUCAUCUGUGAAUAUGCCUCUGAGGUUGGAAAUCAAGAGAAAAGUUGCUCAAAGAUCGGAAAGAGUAAAGUCGGUGGAUCUGCAUCCAACCGAGCCAUGGAUACUGGCGAGUUUGUAUUCUGGGACUGUUUGCAUCUGGAACUACCAAACACAGGCAAUGGCAAAAUCUUUUGAAGUGACUGAGUUACCAGUUAGGUCAGCAAAGUUCAUUGCACGCAAGCAAUGGGUUGUUGCUGGUGCUGAUGACAUGUUUAUUCGGGUGUACAAUUACAACACCAUGGAUAAGGUUAAAGUCUUUGAAGCUCACACAGAUUAUAUCAGGUGUGUUGCUGUUCAUCCUACUCUUCCUUAUGUGCUGUCAUCAUCUGAUGACAUGCUGAUAAAGCUCUGGGAUUGGGAGAAAGGAUGGGUGUGCACUCAAAUUUUUGAGGGCCAUUCCCAUUAUGUGAUGCAAGUGACAUUUAAUCCAAAAGAUACCAACACUUUUGCUAGUGCAUCUCUUGAUCGAACUAUAAAGAUUUGGAAUCUUGGCUCACCUGAUCCAAACUUCACGCUGGAUGCCCAUCUGAAAGGUGUGAAUUGUGUAGAUUAUUUCACAGGUGGUGAUAAACCUUACUUAAUCACUGGGUCUGAUGAUCACACUGCAAAGGUGUGGGACUACCAGACGAAAAGUUGUGUACAAACUCUAGAAGGGCACACACAUAAUGUCUCUGCUGUGUGUUUUCAUCCUGAACUGCCUAUUAUAAUCACGGGUUCUGAAGAUGGUACUGUUCGCAUAUGGCAUGCAACAACUUAUAGACUUGAAAACACUUUGAAUUAUGGCCUUGAGCGGGUCUGGGCAGUUGGUUACAUGAAAGGUUCAAGAAGGAUUGUGAUUGGUUAUGAUGAGGGAACCAUUAUGGUCAAAAUAGGUCGUGAAGUGCCUGUUGCUAGUAUGGAUAACAGUGGGAAAAUCAUAUGGGCAAAGCACAAUGAGAUCCAAACAGUCAAUAUCAAGAGUGUGGGAUCAGAUUAUGAGGCUACUGAUGGAGAAAGGUUGCCAUUGGCUGUCAAGGAAUUGGGAACAUGUGACCUCUACCCACAGAACUUAAAACAUAAUCCCAAUGGAAGGUUUGUUGUUGUUUGUGGAGAUGGUGAAUACAUUAUAUAUACAGCUCUGGCCUGGAGAAACAGGUCAUUUGGAUCUGCACUCGAAUUUGUUUGGUCAUCAGAUGGGGAAUAUGCUGUGAGGGAAAGUACAUCAAAAAUUAAGAUCUUCAGUAAAAAUUUCCAGGAGAAGAAAAGCAUCCGUCCGACUUUCUCUGCUGAGCGCAUAUAUGGGGGUACUUUAUUGGCAAUGUGCUCAAAUGAUUUUAUUUGCUUCUAUGAUUGGGCUGACUGCCGGUUGAUAAGGCGGAUUGAUGUUAAUGUCAAAAACCUCUACUGGGCUGACAGUGGUGAUUUAGUGACAAUUGCAAGUGACACAUCAUUUUACAUUCUUAAGUAUAAUCGUGAUGUUGUAUCUGCACAUUUAGAAAAUGGAAGAUCAGCUGAUGAACAAGGUGUAGAAGAAGCUUUUGAACUUCUUUAUGAGAUCAGUGAACGGGUCCGGACUGGAUUAUGGGUUGGGGAUUGUUUCAUUUACAAUAAUUCUUCCUGGAGACUCAAUUAUUGUGUUGGUGGUGAGGUGACCACAAUGUUCCAUUUAGACCGCCCGAUGUACCUGCUCGGUUAUCUUGCAAACCUAAGCAGGGUGUAUCUUAUUGACAAAGAGUUCAAUGUUGUUGGAUACACUUUACUGCUUAGCUUGAUUGAGUACAAGACACUUGUGAUGCGUGGUGAUCUGGAGCGAGCUAAUGAGGUCUUACCAUCCAUUCCCAAGGAGCACCACAAUAGUGUGGCCCGAUUCUUGGAAUCACGAGGAAUGGUAGAAGAAGCAUUGGAAGUUGCUACAGACCCUGACUACAAAUUUGAACUGGCAAUACAGCUUGGAAGACUAGAGAUUGCAAAGGAAAUUGCUGUAGUAGCACAGAGUGAAUCCAAAUGGAAGCAGUUGGGAGAACUUGCUAUGUCUACCGGAAUGUUGGAGAUGGCAGAGCAAUGUUUGAAACAUGCAAAUGACCUGAGUGGCCUGUUGCUGCUGUAUUCUUCUUUAGGAGAUGCUGAUGGAAUAACUGGAUUGGCUUCUAUUGCCAAGGAGCAUGGGAAGAAUAAUGUUUCAUUCCUUUGCCUAUUUCUGCUGGGUAAAGUGGAUGAGUGCAUUCAGCUGUUGAUUGACAGUGGCCGUAUACCUGAAGCGGCGUUUAUGGCACGAUCAUAUUUACCCAGUAAAGUCUCUGAAAUAGUUUCCAUUUGGAGAAAGGACCUUAACAAGGUCAACCAGAAAGCUGCUGAGGCUUUGGCUGAUCCUCAAGAAUAUCCUAACUUGUUUGAGGAUUGGCAAGUUGCACUUGCUGUUGAAUCUAGCGUUGCAGAGACCAGAGGUAUCUACCCACCAGCAGCCGAAUAUUUAAAUCAUGCUGAUAGAUCUGCAGUCAACCUUGUGGAGGCUUUCAGGAAUAUGAGGAUGGAUGAAGAGGAACCCCUUGAAAAUGGAGAAUUGGAUCAUGGGGCUGCAGAACAGAAUGAAGGUGAGGAACAGCAGCUGGAGCAAGAUGAUAUUCAACCAGAGGGGCAUGAAGAUGGCCAAGAAGAGGCUGUUGUGGUGGAUGCUGAAUCAACAGAUGGUGUGCUUGUUAAUGGAAACGAUGCUGAUGAAGAGUGGGGUAUGAAUAAUGAAGGAAAACAGUCAGCUUAAAAGCAAUUGGUUGGGCUGGUGUGAAAAUCGUAGUUUUGUCGCUGGUGAUUAAUUCAAUUUCUUUUAGCCGCUGCUUCAAACUCCCAUACCUGCAUUCCAAUGCUUACACAUCACUGAUUCCAGUCCAUGCAAUCGGUUCCAGCUGUAUGUAAUUCAUUCCUAAGACUUUCCAUCAAUCAAUCUGUCUUAAAAAGGUAAAGGUGAACAGGAACCGGAUGUUUGCUUGGCUUGGCUUGGCUGUGGUGUGAUUUUGUAGCAAUGAGUUUUUUCAACAACAUACAGUAGACAAUUGUUUUGAGCUUCAGUUAUUAAAUACUCUGUAGCUUAGAUGCCCCCCAUAGUUGUUUUAAUUAAUACAGUAUGAUAUUCUUUGAAAUUCUUAAAUGCCUUUGUGAAUGUAGAACACAUACGAGUAUUAUGUUAUAGGAAAAGUGCGGAUAGGGUGGAUCGUUUUAACCUUUAUUACUAGUAUAUUGUUUGUUCCA